AUGAUGGACUAUAGGACAGGACUGCUGCUUUUAACUCUCUGCUGGGCAGGUGUUGAUGGUCAGACUCUGACAGAAUCUGAACCAGUGGUUAAAAGACCUGGAGAAUCCCACAGACUGACCUGUAUAACAUCUGGAUUCACAUUCAGUGACUACUGGAUGCAUUGGAUCAGACAGGCUCCUGGAAAAGGACUGGAGUGGAUUGCUGCUGAUCCCAAUAGUGGCAGCACAAAAUAUUACUCUCAGUCAGUCCAAGGCCGGUUUACCAUCUCCAGAGACAACAGCAGAGAGCAGCUGUAUCUGCAGAUGAACAGUCUGAAGACUGAAGAUUCUGCUGUUUAUUAUUGUGCUGGAGACUCACAGUGACUGGAGUUGGUUGAACAGCUGUACAAAAUCCAUCAAUCAACAGUCCAUGCAUGAACUAUUUUUUGAAUUAUUUUUAUUUCAAGUUAUAUUUUCUUUGACAGAUGACAGUGAAAAAUCAUGUUGCAUUUUCUCUUGUAAAAGGUCAGUCAGUUUCAGGUUUCUGUCUCCUCUGUUACUAAACUCAGAUCUGUUGUUCUCAUUGAUGUGAACUGACUAACUCUUGAAGUCUGGACUGAACUAAACCAUCAAACUCCUGCUGGUCUUAUACACUGGAUGUUACACUGAAAAUUAAGAUUUUUCUAUCCUAAAAAAAUAAUAACAUUAAAAAAGGCACUAUAAAACCACUCUGCGUGAUAUUUGAGUAUGACUGAUUUUUAACUUGUGAAAGCAUAUAUCCUCUUAGGUGGAGGUAAAUAAAAAAAUACAGUGAUUAAUAAAAUGCUGUGCUCAUAUGUUUGAAGUAAAUGUACCUGAG